UACGUAGGGUGCAAGCGUUUGUCCGGAAUUAUUGGGCGUAAAGAGCUCGUAGGCGGCUUGUCACGUCGGAUGUGAAAGCCCGGGGCUUAACCCCGGGUCUGCAUUCGAUACGGGCAGGCUAGAGUUCGGUAGGGGAGAUCGGAAUUCCUGGUGUAGCGGUGAAAUGACGCAGAUAUCAGGAGGAACACCGGUGGCGAAGGCGGAUCUCUGGGCCGAUACUGACGCUGAGGAGCGAAAGCGUGGGGAGCGAACAGG
rnacentral:rRNA from 1 species